UCAGAGGAUGAUGACAAAAAAGACGACAAGAAUUAGCCCUGUCUUCCAGUGUUGCCCGGUCUGGCCUAGAACUUUGAAUCCUCUGCCUCCCUUCAGUAUCGGAAGUACAGGGCUGCGUGCCACUGCAGCAGGCAUCAUUUCCUUACCAGAAGCCCCUCUUGCCUCAGUUCAACUUCUUAAGGUGGCUUCCACAGCUUCGUGACUGUAGAUAGACACUGUAGACUUAAAGCCUGGUACUUUAAAAUAGUCUCAGUUUAUUAAUGUAGCAAAUACUUGAGCAUUUGCUGCACAUAUUGUUAGGAACUGGCACAUCAUUCAGUAUUUCAUAUUGCUGGGAAAUUAUUUACUGAUAACACUUCCAAAUACAGUUAUCUGAAAACA
rnacentral:lncRNA from 1 species